rnacentral:tRNA from 1 species
GGGCCUGUAGCUCAGUUGGUUAGAGCACUGUGUUGAUAACGCAGGGGUCACAAGUUCAAGUCUUGUCAGGCCCACCA